ACUUGGAGGAUAGAAUGUGCUGUAGGAAUCUCCAAAAGAGGUAACAAAGGGUAAGCAGGAGGGGAGGAAGAUUGGGAGAUUCAGUCAAGAUCCUCAUUAAAACUGGAAAAGUGGAACUGACAGUCGAGCCAUCAACCCCCAAAAGUCCAUUGGCAAUGCUCUUUGGAUUCCUGAUUUUGGGAUUCCAGAGCUUCAGUGGGCUCUGUGAAACUGCUGCUGGCAUAAGAAGAAAGUGGCGGGGCAGAUGGACUCGUCAAAGACAUGAUUUCUUGGAUAGCGAGCCUCAGUUUUAACCUGUGUAAAGGAUUACUGAUUCCUAUUUCACGCUGUAUUUCUGUAUCUGAUAAGGCAGACAUGAUAGCACCACUCUUCACAUUUGCUCGGCAAGCAGCCACGUACCAUGCUGGCAUCCCAACCCACAGCUGGGAAGAGACAAUACAACACAAUUGAGCGGACUGUGAACUUUUUCCUUUUUAAAAUAAAGACCUUUGGAAAUUUUAAGAA